rfam:Trichobilharzia regenti genome assembly, scaffold: TRE_scaffold0124845
AUCCAUCUGGCGAGUCCCAAAUAGGACGAAAUGCGCAUCCUGACUGGAU